CAAAAGUAGAUUUUCAUGUACUGGCAAUUUGCCACAGGUUAAAUCAUGACGGCUGGAAGAUACAUUCGAUUGACGAUUACCAGCCGGCUGCCGGGAAGUUGCGAACUUCCGAAGAACAUAACAAAGAGCCUCCAAAGUGAAAAGUAAUUUCCAUGUAAGAAUCAUUUGUUUGUUCUUUUUUGCAUAGUUAGUACUGUUGAAAUAUUUUUUUAGUUCUUCUUUGUUUCCCAUUGUAAUCCUUUGCCCUCUAUUUUGGUUAUUUUUAUGAAAGGUGAAGCUUUUUUGUUUUGGUCAAUUUUGUGAACGACUGAGAGAUGAUUUUGCAUUGUUCUCUGUCUGCGUUGUUUCACAACUUCAAUGACAAGAGUAUUUUUUGGUGAUUCCUAAUCCUUCUCUCCCAGGUUUCAAAUUUUUGGAUGUCAGAAAUUGCUCGCUGCAAGUAUGCAACUGACGCUCUUGGGAUCUGCCUAUAAAUUGGUUUUUUACAUAGAAUUGAUUUUUUAUCGCACAAAAUGGCUACAGUCGUCGCCAUUAAUCUAUGUUGGCGAACUUGCUACAUUUUCUACUUCUUAAAAGGUUAUUUUCAUGCAUCAUCAGAAUCGAUUUUUUGAAUGUUUAUCUAAUCAACUGCAUCCAGUUUGUUUUUUAUAAUUGCUUGUGAGCUUUGAAUUUACUAAUUCAUAUAAGAUUUACUCAUUAUCAGUCCAUAAUUCAAAUUGAUAACUUACUAAUUUCUUCAUAGGGUAAAAGGUUAUCUCUUUGGAAAAAAAAACAUGAAAUAUUCUCAUAUUUUGUGAUUUAUUACUAACAUCUUAGAUGUUAGGUAUAUAUAAAAGUAUUUUUGUAAAAGUGGAUCCCUUUGAGGAAGAACUUGGGAAACUCAUUAAUAUAAAAUAAAUGAAUAACUCUGGAAAAAGGAAGUCAAAUCUGGUCGUUUAGCAUAAAUGGACCAGUUGGGCAUGAUAAUGGAAGUCCGAUGAGUUCAUGAUUAGCCAUUCUGAACAUUGUAGUGUAUAGCCAUUGACUUGUACUCCAACAAUUGUUUGAUUCUGAAGAGGAACUUGUCUUUUCUCUAACGAAGAAUACUCCUGAUUUAUGAUAAAGAAAUCAUGGAAUAUUUGUUAACACUUAUAAUUACAGGGCAAACAACAUCUGCAAAUAUGUGAUGUGGAUCAUCAAGUAUUAGGAAUAUAUUACUUAUAUGGUUUGCAUUAGUUUAUGAGAUGCAAUGACAUUUCUUUGUAGAAACCACAAAAUUUAAAAGUAAUGGUCGGGAGAAGUUAAUUUUGUUAAUUUUCUUUCUGUUUUUUCCCUCCAUAACAAAUAGUUGUUUCCAAGAAAAAUUCCAGCAAGGAAAAACUAUUUUCAAGCGAGUCUUGAUGGCCAAAUUAUUCUAGAAUCUUAAAAGUAAGGAUACAUAGAAGUUAACUUUGUUAAACACAUGAUACAACCGCAGGUUAUCAAGUGACUUCAUGUGUUAAUUAUUUGUCCUCAUUUUUUCUCUUCCUUUCGUUUCCCUUGAAGUUGUGUAUUGGUCAGUCAUUUAUCAAGUAGAUUGUGGGUGAUAUUAACUUUACUUAAGUGAGUUUUUAUUCAGUUUGAGAUAGUGAACUGAAUGAGAUUUCUUUUUGCAGGCUUCAAAGUUCACAAUGACUUUAGUUCAAGUCUUUAUACGUUUGUUGCAUAUCUAUCGAAAUCUAUAAACAUGGAUUUGCCUUCACAUCAUGCUGGGUGGAAAGAAUUUUAAAGACCACGCAUGUUAUGCAUUAGGGAUUAGUGAAGUGCAUGAUUAAUGAUCGUCAAUAAUCAUUUUUCUAAUUUUAUGAUUUGAAUGAAAUAAAUUUGAG
rnacentral:lncRNA from 1 species